CCUAACUAAGAUAAAAACACAGUUCUGGUUGGUAGUCCAGACGUAGGCAAGCCUAUCAGUAACCUUCCUCCUUGGUUGUCCAUUCUUAGGGAUAGAUUU
rfam:Veillonella parvula strain SHI-1 CONTIG_2, whole genome shotgun sequence.